rnacentral:rRNA from 1 species
CCUACGGGUGGCAGCAGUGAGGAAUAUUGGUCAAUGGUCGGGAGACUGAACCAGCCAAGCCGCGUGAGGGAGGAAGGUACAGAGUAUCGUAAACCUCUUUUGUCAGGGAACAAAGACUGGGACGCGUCCCCUGCUGAGUGUACCUGUAGAAAAAGCAUCGGCUAACUCCGUGCCAGCAGCCGCGGUAAUACGGAGGAUGCGUGCGUUAUCCGGAUUUAUUGGGUUUAAGGGGGGCGCAGGCGGUCUGUUAAGUCAGCGGUAAAAGCCCGGGGCUCAACCCCGGCCCGCCGUUGAAACUGGCAGUCUCGAGUGGGAGAGAGGUAUGCGGAAUGCGCGGUGUAGCGGUGAAAUGCAUAGAUAUCGCGCAGAACUCCGAUUGCGAAGGCAGCAUGCCGGCUCCAAACUGACGCUGAGGCACGAAAGCGUGGGUAUCGAACAGGAUUAGAUACCCGGGUAGUC